UACGGGGGGGGCAAGCGUUGUUCGGAAUUACUGGGCGUAAAGGGCUCGUAGGCGGCCAACUAAGUCGGACGUGAAAUCCCCAGGCUCAACCUGGGAACUGCGUCCGAUACUGGAUGGCUUGAAUUCGGGAGAGGGAUGCAGAAUUCCAGGUGUAGCGGUGAAAUGCGUAGAUAUCUGGAGGAAUACCGGUGGCGAAGGCGGCAUCCUGGACCGACAUUGACGCUGAGGAGCGAAAGCUAGGGGGAGCAAACGGGG
rnacentral:rRNA from 1 species